rnacentral:tRNA from 2 species
CGGGAUGUAGCUCAGCUUGGAAGAGCACAGGCAUGGGGUGUCUGGAGUCGCAGGUUCAAAUCCUGUCAUCCCGACCA